rnacentral:rRNA from 1 species
UACGGAGGGUGCAAGCGUUAUCCGGAUUUACUGGGUUUAAAGGGUGCGUAGGUGGGUCUGUAAGUCAGUGGUGAAAUCUCCGAGCUUAACUCGGAAACUGCCAUUGAUACUAUAGAUCUUGAAUUAUCUGGAGGUGAGCGGAAUAUGUCAUGUAGCGGUGAAAUGCUUAGAUAUGACAUAGAACACCAAUUGCGAAGGCAGUUCACUACGGAUUGAUUGACACUGAGGCACGAAAGCGUGGGGAUCAAACAGG